CUCUCUCUGUCCCAAAAAUAAAUAAACGUUGAAAAAAAAAAUUUUUUUAAAAAAAAGAAAGGUGUUUAAGGAGACAUAGCCCCUCUUCUGACGUUAGUAGCUGUCUUGGAACUGAGGAGAGCACAGUGACAGCGGAAAGGAAGAGGGAACGUGGGCUUUGCUAGCACUGUUGAACUGUUGGAAUUCCCUUAAUCCCCAAUUUCUUGUCAGAGGAGGUUACUGCUCCCUCACCGUACAAGGCAAUUCAGGUUGCAUUUUUGUAUAGGAUGGUCUCUUUUCCUGACACUUGACAGAUGUGUAGACUGUUUCUGCUCAGUCACAUAAUUCCUCUACUCUCCAGUAAGUACUGAUACCUCCCGAUCAGAAAGUUGAGGAAAUCUUCCCUUACUCUGCCCAGGCUAUGACUCUUUUUCACCCGACCAUGCCUACGCCCUCAAGUGUUGAUUAUGUUUCCAUCUGUCAAAUUCUUACUGUUGUGUAUGCAAGGUAUUCACGUCACAGCUAAAACAUUGGGAGGCACUUGCCAAGUGUUCACACUGCACUUCUGGCCUCUUCAUUAAUGCUCUUGUACGACUCCUGCGGAAGCUUGGUGUGAGAUGGAAAUUAAAAUCCUCUUUUUACAAGUAAGAAAACAGAUCUUUGGGGUAACUCACUCGGUAUUGUUUGGCUGGCAAAUGGGAAUGCUGGGAUUAAAUCCAGAUCAGUCUGAGGUAAAAGCCUGUUCCCUUUUCUGGUCUUUGUAAGCUUCUGGUUUUUGUAAUGCUCUUUAUGAGAAUUUAUUGAAUGCAGAUUGCAUGUCAGCAACAUCUUCGUGUUGGGUUUUUAUUUUGUUACACAUUUUUAUCCAUUUAUAUGUCUUUUCCCUCAUUUUAUCUUUGUUUUCUAGAGUAUAAGCUCUCAGGAUUGUGACAGGAACUGGGUAGUUACUUUAAAAAUAAUGAUUGUUUCUCUCUGUAAAAGUUGUCCACUUAUGGUAGAAAAUUCGGAACAUACAAAAAAUAUAAAAAGCUGAAAGUUAUUGGUAAUUUCACCACUUCUAACAUUUUAAUGUGUUUCCUCCCAGAUUUCUGUAGACUUUCUGGCAGUGAUUUAAUAGCACCCUCCCUAACCCCUCCUCCCCUCCUAUGUCUCUGCCCAUCCUGGCUUGUCUUUCUCAUCAGCCUGAGCAACCCUCUCAUUCAGUGAUUUCUGCUGAAUUCUCCUUAACUUUCUAAAGUAGUUGCUGUUAGGAGUUGCAUUGGGUCCUCUAAAAAGAUAGGUUGAAGUCCUACCUGUGAAUAUGACCUUAUUUGGAAAUUAAGAUGCGGUCAUUAGGGUGGGCCCUAACGCAAUGUAACUGGCACCCUAAUAAUAAUAGUAAUAAUAAUCUGUGGUGCACACGGAGGUGCCGUGUGAAGACACAGGGAAAAUGACUGUGGGAGAGAUUGGUGUCAUGCUGCCACAAGCCAGCUGAGGGCUGCUAGAACCUGGAAAAGGCAAGGAAGAACCCUUCCCUAGAAGCUUCCGGAGGAACAUGCUCCUGCCAACACCUUGAUUUGGGACCUCUAGCCUCCAGAACUGUGAGAUGGUUAACUUUUGUUAUUUUAAGCCGCUGGUUUGUGGCUUGUCACAGAGCCCUAGGAAGCAAAUACACUUGCCCAUCAGGACUUCCCCUAGUGUCUGCCUUGUUCGUUUCCAGUCCUUGGGAAACUCAUUACCACCUUGUCCUCCAUCCUCCUCCUGGGCUGUUGAGCCAGGUUGACUGGUUCUGCUACAAAGUCUUGCUCUCUGACUUCAAGUGGGCUAUUUGAACUCCUUGGUGAACAAACUUUAUUUUUUCAUCCCUUGACUUCCUUUUACAUUUUUGGUGGCAGUGAUUCCAGACCAUUUCCUCCUCUUUCAAGGCUUCAUGAGCCCUGUCAUACUACCGUAGGGGAGGCAAACUUUACCUCUACCUGUCUUAAGUUUUUGGCUGGGCCUCUGACAAGAAAUCAGAUUAACAAGAGAAAAACAGUUUACUAACACACGCAGCACACACCAUGCAGGAGAAACCUAAAGUGAAGAGCAACUCAAAGUGGAGGCUUAGAAUUCUGGUUUACAUAGUACCUUUAAUAAAGAACAACACAUUUGUGGAGGACGCAGGAGGAACGUCUUAGCCUUCCAGGUGUGGCAGUCUGUGGGAAGGUAAAUGCAUGUGAGGAAACUAAUGGAGGAAAUGUUUGCAGAUUCCUCUUUGGUGUUGUCUCCAGCAAAAGGAGAAUGUAUAUCUUGUCUGCAGGCAGAAAAAGGGGAGCUUUUUCUGGGUUUGCUGCUCUUAAUUGCCUUCAGCUCAAAAUAAUUUUUAUGCUAAAGGGGCAUAUUUUGGGCUGACACAUUCUGGUUUCCUUCACUGUUAUUAAAGAACUUGCAUCUUUUACAGAGAAAAAUAUUCUUCUCUUACUCCACCUAAUAUAUAUAUAUAUAUAUAUAUAUACACACACACACACACAUACAUAUAUAUAUACACACACGUGUAUAUAAUACAUAUAUAUAUAUAUAUAUAUAUAUAUUUUUUUUUUUUUCCCUCUUUUGUGAGUCUUGAUAUUGGCUCCCCUCAGGUAUGAGCUGGGACACAGGUAUCAUAUUUACUAAAAAUGAAGUAAACUCAUGAUGCUUCUGAUAUACAAACAGGACUGUAAUAGUUUUCAGUGUUACUUAGGGAUUUUUCUGAGUCUUUACUAUGUUAACAUGUUAUGACAUAUUGGAAGAGGUAUUUAUUACACAGAAUUUCUCAAGCUUAUUUCACCACAGGAACUAACUGAGGGACUAAUUCAGAGACUUUCCAGAAGAUGGUUUGGCAAUAACUAUCCUACACUUUCUCCAGAUGGUCUUGACUCUCUCAGAUUUCAACCUAGACUUGCACUGCCUCGCCCUCAAAGUUGGUGGGUAUAUGCAUUGGUGCUCUAAGCACCAAUGUCUACACUGUGUGACAGUGGAUAAGGCUCUGCUAAGAUCUUUUCCCCUGGAGACUGGGCUUUUGUUAUGUAGAGCAUUCUAGGCACAUUUUUCAGUGAUUUGUGUUCCUCCCCCUUCCUGACUCUGGUAGGAGGAGAUCUUUCUCAACUUUUCAUUCUGAGAAUUUGGUGGAGUUCCUGGAGUUAAACCCAUGAAUAUAUGCUCUCCAGCCCCCUGCCCAGCCCUGCAGCUCCAAGAAGUUUCUCACCCUUAAGCUAGCCCACACUCAAUCUCACACUCAAUCUUCAUCAAAACCAUUAUUUAUUCCUAUAAGUUUAUAGCUCUGUUGGAUUUUGCUUCAGGUAAGGAGAUCUUAGCUUUGCCUCUGUGGAUUUGCUUGUCUAUCCAGAUUUUGGGGUGGCAGUUUGCCAUGCAACCUAAAUUCUCUGAUGAGUGCAGGAAAAGCCAUUACUUUUCAGUUUUCUCAUUUUUUUCUUGUAAGGAUGUGAGUUAGGACUUCCCAAUUCUUUACAUGUAGGAGCUGAAACUGCAAGUCUGUCAUAAUAUAUCAUAAUAUUAAAAUAGGCUUCUUGUGAGACCUCUGUAUGGUUAAUUGUGUCAACUCGACUAAAGGGUGCCUAGAUAGCUGGUAAAACAUUAUUUCUGGGUGUGUCUGUGAAGGUAUUUCCAGGAGAGAUUAACAUUUGAACUGAUACAUUGAGUAAAAAAAAGAUCAUUUUCACCAAAGUGGGUAGACAUUGUCCAAUCAAUGGAGAGCUGAAUAGAACAGAAAGGCAAGUUUCUCCUCUGCAUGAGCUGGGACAUCCAUCUGCCCCAGGGACAUUGGCGCUCCUGAUUCUUGGGCCUUCAGAUGUGGACUGGGACUUAUAUACCAUUGGUCCCCGAUUCUUGAGCCUCUGGACCCCAACUGGAACUUACACCAUUAGUUCUCCUAGUUUUCAGGUCUUUGGACUUGGAUUGAAUUACAGCACCAGCUUCCCUGAGUUUCCAGCUUGCAGACAGUAGAUUGUGGGACUUCUUGUCCUCCAUGGUGACGUGAGCCAAUGGCCAGUGAUCCAUCCAUCUUACUGGUUCUGUUUUUCUGGAGGACACCUUGCUUUUUUUUUUUUUUUUUUUUUUUUUUUUUUAUAUCAUCUAGUCUUUCCAUUCUUAACUGUUAUUCUUAAACGAUUCACCUUUAAAGUUAUUGUUUCUUCCCAACAUGGCCCAGCAGAAUAGCUCCCACAGAGAAGGGUGGUGAGAGGAAGGGCUAUUCUUCUGUCAUCAAGUUAGUGACAAGAGAAUACACCAUCAAUAUUCACAAGUAUCCAUGGAGUGGAUUUCAAGAAGUGUGCCCUUUGGGCACUCAAAGAAAUUUGGAAAUUUGCCAUGAAGGAGAUGUGAACUUCAGAUGUGCACAUUGAUACCAAUGUGGGCCAAAGGAAUAAGGAAUGUUUCAUACCAUGUCCAUGUGUGGUUGUCCAAAAAACAGCAAGGGUGAAGAUUCAUCAAACAGGCUUCACACAUUGGUUACAUAUGUACCCAUCAUCACUUUCAAAAAUCUACAGGUAAUAGAUGUGGAUGAGAACUAACCACUGAUUGUCAAAUAAACAUAUAAAACUGCAACAGAAAAAGUUAUUGUUUGAUAUAGUUGGAUGAAAAUAUAUUAUUUUGCUAGUUCUUUUAUUAGUUUAAUUUUUUCUAAGUUUUUUUCCUUUUUCUGCUUUCUCUAGUUUUAUUGUAUAUUUAAAAAAUAAAAUUCAUUUUAUCUCCUAUACUUAUUGAUACUUCUUUUAAAAACCUUUGUAGUCAUUGCCAUGGGAUUUACAGUAUACAUUUUGAAAAAAUCUGAAUCUACCUUCAAGUAACGUGUCACUUAAUGUGUAGAAAGAGACUUUAUAAUAGUAGAACUUGUUUUCCAGUCCUUGUUCUAUUGUUAUCAUACAUUUCACUUUUUUUGGAGGCAAUAAAAACCCAAUACAUUGUUA